rnacentral:tRNA from 1 species
GCGAUUAGCUCAGUUGGGAGAGCACCUGCCUUACAAGCAGGGGGUCACUGGUUCGAGCCCGGUAUCGC